AACCCAUGGUGAGGGCACCUUCUCAGCAAGUCCUUUAUCUCUCCCAUGCAUCGUAAAGUGUUUCUAAAUCCAUCUGCACAAAAGAAAAGAUAUCACUACGUAAUUU
rnacentral:snoRNA from 1 species